CUGGGCGUAAAGAGCUCGUAGGUGGUUUGUCGCGUUGUUCGUGAAAUCUCACGGCUUAACUGUGAGCGUGCGGGCGAUACGGGCAGACUUGAGUACUGCAGGGGAGACUGGAAUUCCUGGUGUAGCGGUGGAAUGCGCAGAUAUCAGGAGGAACACCGGUGGCGAAGGCGGGUCUCUGGGCAGUAACUGACGCUGAGGAGCGAAAGCGUGGGGAGCGAACAGGAUUAGAUACCCUGGUAGUCCACGCCGUAAACGGUGGGUACUAGGUGUGGGUUUCCUUCCUUGGGAUCCGUGCCGUAGCUAACGCAUUAAGUACCCCGCCUGGGGAGUACGGCCGCAAGGCUAAAACUCAAAGAAAUUGACGGGGGCCCGCACAAGCGGCGGAGCAUGUGGAUUAAUUCGAUGCAACGCGAAGAACCUUACCUGGGUUUGACAUGCACAGGACGCCGGCAGAGAUGUCGGUUCCCUUGUGGCCUGUGUGCAGGUGGUGCAUGGCUGUCGUCAGCUCGUGUCGUGAGAUGUUGGGUUAAGUCCCGCAACGAGCGCAACCCUUGUCUCAUGUUGCCAGCGGGUAAUGCCGGGGACUCGUGAGAGACUGCCGGGGUCAACUCGGAGGAAGGUGGGGAUGACGUCAAGUCAUCAUGCCCCUUAUGUCCAGGGCUUCACACAUGCUACAAUGGCCGGUACAAAGGGCUGCGAUGCCGCGAGGUUAAGCGAAUCCUUUUAAAGCCGGUC
rnacentral:rRNA from 1 species